rnacentral:rRNA from 1 species
CGUAAAGCGAGCGUAGGUGGCUUGAUAAGUCAGAUGUGAAAGCCCCGGGCUCAACCUGGGAACGGCAUCUGAUACUGUUAGGCUAGAGUAGGUGAGAGGAAGGUAGAAUUCCAGGUGUAGCGGUGAAAUGCGUAGAGAUCUGGAGGAAUACCGAUGGCGAAGGCAGCCUUCUGGCAUCAUACUGACACUGAGGUUCGAAAGCGUGGGUAGCAAACAGGAUUAGAUACCCUGGUAGUCCACGCCGUAAACGAUGUCUACUAGUCGUUGGGUCCCUUGAGGACUUAGUGACGCAGCUAACGCAAUAAGUAGACCGCCUGGGGAGUACGGCCGCAAGGUUAAAACUCAAAUGAAUUGACGGGGGCCCGCACAAGCGGUGGAGCAUGUGGUUUAAUUCGAUGCAACGCGAAGAACCUUACCUGGUCUUGACAUAUCUAGAAUCCUGCAGAGAUGCGGGAGUGCCUUCGGGAAUUAGAAUACAGGUGCUGCAUGGCUGUCGUCAGCUCGUGUCGUGAGAUGUUGGGUUAAGUCCCGCAACGAGCGCAACCCUUGUCCUUAGUUACCAGCGGUUUGGCCGGGAACUCUAAGGAUACUGCCAGUGACAAACUGGAGGAAGGCGGGGACGACGUCAAGUCAUCAUGGCCCUUACGACCAGGGCUACACACGUGCUACAAUGGUAGGUACAGAGGGCAGCUACACAGCGAUGUGAUGCGAAUCUCAAAAAGCCUAUCGUAGUCCAGAUUGGAGUCUGCAACUCGACUCCAUGAAGUAGGAAUCGCUAGU